GAAGGAUGUAUCGCCACCUGUUUGUCUCCAACUUGAGCGCUUCAAUGCUAAAGGCCAAAAAUAUGGAAUGCAAAAUCUUGAAAAACAUAGCUGAGGACCCUUGUCGUGCUCGUUGUGAAGAUUGAGGGGACAUCUUCGGUCAUAUUUGGGAACUCUGCAACUCGGUUGGUGGUGUAUCAGAUGGUGGUUUUAUGGAAAGUAUGAAUAUGUUGAUUGUGGAGCCGAAGCGGUGGAACUCUGGCUACCACUUGAGAGUUUUCCUGGAACGCCAAGGGUGGAUUUAUAGGAAGCUAAGCUCACGGCUGAAGAUGUUUUUAAUCACAUUCACCAGUCUACAAAUCGACAUUCUCAUUUUAACCCUAUUGUGCUUGGUCUGGAAGGUACGGUAAUUUUCCAUUCUAAAGUUGUAAUAUUAUUGACAAGCAAAUAGAUCAUUUAGUCUUACUGAUCAUAUAAUUUCGGAGGCACAAUGGUGGAGGCACAAGGGUGGGGCACGGUGGUCCUUACAUUCCAUAUAAUGCGUGGAUAAAUUUCGACAAUGCCGGAGGUGAUUUCAUGUAUGAAAAGCCACCUGAUUAUAGCACGGUUGGAUCAGGGAGGAGGAGGAGGAGAAGGAAGAGGCAGUUAAGAAGCAGCAAAUUAAGGCACCUAAGAUGAAGAAGAAGAAGUAACAUGCGCUGAAGAAGAAUAAUGGAGGAAACUGAGACUUGUUUCUGGUUUCGAUAUUGGAAUUGGGUUUUAAUUCCAAUACCUUUCGAUUGUAAAUACGUUUGAACGCAGUAAAAAUCAACAGUUUGAUUGCAUUGAA